CGCAGAUGAAGUGGAGAGAGGUCCAAGACCACCGGCACAGCCCGCACACCCAGCACUUCGUGCCUAAAACGCCUGCCCUAGCCCCUGUCCUGACUCCGCUCAAGCCUUUCUUAGAAGCCACUCUCCUCCACUCAGGUGAUGCCUUCUCACCCGUCACAACUUAAUGUAGAUGCUGCCUCUUUCAGUAAAGCUCCCGCGAAUCCCUGUCUGGGAGGCCAUGCUCCUGUGCACCUGCUCCACUGCAUCGCAGCCUCUCCUGCUUGUGCUAUAAUGAUUUUCCUGUCUCUUUCCUGGAUGGACAAAGUCUUCCUUCUUUGUGGACCUCUGGACCCAUCAAAGCCUAGACAUGGGCACAAGAAGCACGAAUUCCCAAUGAGGGCCUCUGGAAGUGAUGAAGAGUUUUAUGGGUCCCGAAUUGGUUCAAACUCCUUGAGGACAAGGCGUUGUCUGUUGCAUCCCCACGUUGACUAGCAGAGAGACAGGCAUCUGACGGAAUGAAGAAAAGCGACUGAGAAAACACC
rnacentral:lncRNA from 1 species